UACGUAGGGGGCAAGCGUUGGUCCGGAUUUAUUGGGCGUAAAACGCUACGUAGGUGGCUACGGUCAAGUCGGACGUGAAAUCUCCCGGCUUAACUGGGAGAGGUCGCUCGAUACUGGCGAGCUCGAGGCAGGUAGGGGGAAGCGGAAUUCCCGGUGUAGUGGCGGAAUGCGUAGAUAUCGGGGAGGAACACCAGUGGCGAAGGCGGCUUCCUGGACCUGAUCUGACACUGAGGAGCGAAAAGGCGUGGGGAGCGAUCCGG
rnacentral:rRNA from 1 species